AACGCACCUUGCACUCUUUGGUAUUCCGAAGAGUAUGUCUGUUUGAGUGUCAUGAAAUUCUCAACCCCCUCGUUUUGUAAUGAAACUAGCGUGGGCUUGGUUAAUGGCUGUCUGCCGGCGUAAUUGUCGACUCAGCUGAAAUACAAGAGCAACCCAUUUAAAAUAAGCGGCUUGACUCGGCGUAAUAAUUAUUUCGCUGAGGACGCUUUCUUUAAUAUUAGAGGUGCUUCUAAUGCUACACCUCGGUGUAAUCUACAAUUUAGACCUCAAAUCAGAUAGGACUACCCGCUGAACUUAA
rnacentral:misc_RNA from 2 species